UUAGGGUAUUGUGGGAAAAGCUGGACCAUCUGGACUUCCUGGGAUUCCUGGACCUCCGGGUCUUCCAGGGAGUAUGGGGCAACCUGGAUUGAAAGGUGAUAAGGGUGAACAAGGCAUUACAGGAGAGCAAGGAGAGGUGGGGUAUCCAGGAGACAAGGGUGCUGUUGGUUUGCCAGGGCUUCCAGGAAAUCGAGGAAAACCAGGACCCUCGGGGAAAAUGGGAGAUCCAGGACCUCAGGGACCAUCAGGCCCACCUGGACCAGAGG